UGCUGUCUCCUGGCCCGUAACCUUCCCUCGACCUCUCUUGGCUCCUGCCUGUCGUUCCAACUUCCAGAUACCCCGACUGCUCCUUUGCUCGCAGGCGGCAGGCGCAAGCACGGCUGGGCGCAAGAUUGCAGUUCGAACUUAAAGUCCAAUCAAAUCGAUUCGCGAUUCAUGAAGUCACAGGCAGGCGCAAGAGUGCCAGAGAGGUGUUCUCUGUCCUUUUCUUGUAAGCAUGUUGUCUAAGAAGCACUUAUCUGGCUGUGAGAAAAGAAAAAAGAGGAAACGAGUAGAUCAGCUAAUUGAAUCUCAGAGAGGGGCUUUGCAUAGAUUUGUUUCGAGGAAUGUCAAUACUGUGCAAUCAGGUGUCCCUUGUGUUGAAGAGCAACAACCUGAUGAGAGUGAGAACACAGUUCAGGAAAAUGUUGCCAUUGAGAAUUCUGAAAAUUUUAGUGACCAUGAACAUCCUGGAAACAUAGAUCCAGAUGAACAAGAAUCUUCUCGUUUUGAUAUUUAUGACCCUAGAACUUGGGAUAAUUUUGACAAUAAAUCAAGAGAUAUUCUAAUUGAAAAAGGGCCUACAAGGGAGUGUAAUCUUGUGUUUGAAAAGGAUGAUAUUGGCAGACAUUUUCGUAUGCUUACUACUCAAGAAAGCUAAGUAAUGGGGAGGUCAGUGAUCGAAAGUGGUUGGUGUACUCUAAACACGUGAAUAAAGUUUACUGUUUUUGCUGCAAAUUGUUCAAGUCUGGAAGUAGCAAAAGUUUAUUGGCAUCCGAGGGACUAAGGGAUUGGAAGCAUCUUAGUGAGAAGCUCAAAUUACAUGAGAACAGCCUGGAGAAUAUCACUAACGUGAAUACUUGGAAAGAGGCAAGACUGAGGUUAAGUAAAAAUGAAACAAUUGAUAAAGAUUUGUAGCAAGAAAUUGCAAAGAAGAAAGAGCGAUGGAGAUAAGUUUUAAUUAGAAUUAUUUCUGCCGUGAAAUUUCUUGCCAAGCAUGGUUUGACUUUUCGAGGAUCAAAUGAGAAACUGUAUCUAGAUAACAAUGGGAACUUUUUGGCAACAAUUGAAAUGAUCGCAGAAUUUGAUCCUGUAAUGCAAGAUCAUCUUAGGCGCAUUCAAAAUAGUGAAAUUCACUAUCAUUAUCUUGGCCAUAAGAUACAAAAUGAGUUGAUUUCCCUUCUUGCUCAGAGUGUUAAAGAUACUAUCUUAAGGAUAGUUAAGGAUGCCAAGUAUUUCUCCGUAAUCCUAGACUGUAACCCUGACGUGAGCCACGAGGAAUAAAUGACUCUAAUUCUAAGGUGUGUAAACAUGUCAAGUACCGCUACAAAAAUAGAAGAGUUUUUUCUGGAGUUCUUAAAGGUGGAUGAUACAUCAGGAGGACUUUAUGAUGAGUUAAUAUGUGCAGUUAAAUCCCUUGGUUUGAAUGUGAAUGAUGUUAGAGGUCAAGGAUAUGAUAAUGGUUCCAAUAUGAAGAGAAAAGACAAAGGGGUCCAGAACAGAUUGCAAGAAAUAAAUCCAAGAGCACUGUACAUGCCUUGUGCUUGUCUUAGCCUGAAUCUUACUCUGUGAUAUGGCAAAAUCUUGUAGCAAGGCAAUUACUUUCUUUGGAGUUGUGCAACGGAUUUACAUCUUGUUUUCAAGCUCUACUAAGAGGUGGCGAGGUAUUGCUUGAUAAUGUUCCAAACAUGACUGUUAAAUCUUUGUGCAACACUCGUUGGGAGAGUCGGAUAAAGAGUGUUGAAGCUAUUAGAUAUCAAGCGCCUCAGUUAAGAAAAGCUUUAUUGGAACUACAGACAACUUCUAAUGAUGACCCCAAAAUUAAGAGUGAUGCAAAAUCUUUGGUUGCUGCACUUCAGAAUUUUGAAUUUUUAGUCGGUAUGGUCAUUUGGCAUGAUGUUCUAUUUACUAUAAACUUGGUGAGUAAGAAGCUGCAGUCUAAAAUUGUGUGCAUCGAUGUUACCCUUAAGCAAAUCGAAGGUGCCAUCUCAUUUUUUAGGGAGUACAGAAAUGAUGGCUUUACAUCUAGUUUGAUUAUUGCAAAAUCUAUUGCAUCUGACAUGGAUAUAGAGCUUGCAUUUCCUGUGAAGCGACGUGUUACAGGAACAAGACACUUCGAUGAAAAUAAUGACAAUGAAGAAAAUGAUCAAAAUUUAGAAGCACAGGCAGUUGAGGAGGAAUCAUUCAGAAUUAAAUAUUUUCUGGUGAUGAUAGAUGUUGCAAUUGCUUCCCUCACCAAAAGAUUUGAGGAACGGAAGUCAUUUGGGAGCAUAUUUGGCUUCUUGUUUAACUCUGAGAAAUUGAAGUCCUUGGAAGAUGAUGAUCUAAGAAGAUGUUGCACUAAAUUUGCAAAAAACUUUUUCUCAUGAUAACUCGGCAGAUGUUGACUUGGAUGAUUUUUGUCUGAACUAAAAGUGUUGCAAGUGGUACUGCCAAGUACAAUCAUGUCAGCGGAUGAGAUAUUCGAGUUUGUUAGAGCGGCACAUUGUGAUCCAAAUGUCUCUAUUGCUUCUAGAAUUCUCUUAACUGUACCGGUGACCAUGGCAUCAGCUGAAAGAAGCUUUUCAAAACUGAAGUUACUGAAAAAUUAUUUGAGGUCACCUAUGUUACAGGAACGACUGAAUGGUUUGGCAAUGUGUUGUAUUGAGAAGAAUGUAUUGGAUGAUAUUAAUCUUGACACUGUCAUCGAUGACUUUGCGUCAAGAAAUGCAUGUAGUCAUUUCAAAUGAUUGUUGAAGUAUAAAGUCGCUGGGCCCAUUCAUGAAGAUCGCCCCGGGGCCUUCGAAACCUCAGGACCGGUGCUAUUCUUCUCCAGUUUGAGCUCGUAAGGUCUGGCAGGGCUACCUUGUAAUUUGCAACCAGGAAGACAUGCUACCGGUCCAACUAGUGUUCCUGGAACCAUGUACUUUAAAUUUGAUAAUAUGUUCCUAUA